AGCAUGGUGGUGCACUGGAUAGCACUGUUGCCUCACAGCAAGAUGGUCCUGGGCUCGAUUCCCAGCCAGGAUC
rnacentral:tRNA from 1 species